UUUCGAAUCAUUCACAAUGGGCGAAAGCCUGAUGGUGCGACGCCGCGUGAGGGAUGAAGGCCUUCGGGUUGUAAACCUCUGUCACCGGGGAAGAAACGCUUCAAGUUAACAGCUUGAAGCCUGACUUAACCCGGAGAGGAAGCAGUGGCUAACUCUGUGCCAGCAGCCGCGGUAAUACAGAGACUGCAAGCGUUAUUCGGAUUCACUGGGCGUAAAGGGUGCGCAGGCGGCCGGGUGUGUCAGAUGUGAAAUCCCGAGGCUUAACCUCGGAACUGCGUCUGAAACUACUCGGCUAGAGUAUUGGAGAGGGUAACGGAAUUCACGGUGUAGCAGUGAAAUGCGUAGAUAUCGUGAGGAACACCAGAGGCGAAGGCGGUUACCUGGACAAUUACUGACGCUCAGGCACGAAAGCAUGGGGAGCAAAAGGGAUUAGAUACCCAUGUAGUCCCUGAGCGGGCUGGCAAGGCGCAU
rnacentral:rRNA from 1 species